UAUUCAGCUAUGACCACAAUUAGAAGGAUGAGAGGAUAUCUGAUUGAAACAUAUAUUGAUUGAAAUAUAGAUUAUUAAGGGUGUGGACACGCUAGAGGCAGGAAACAUGUUCCCCAUGUUGGGAGAGUCCAGAACCAGGGGCCACAGUUUAAGAAUAAGGGGUAAGCCAUUUAGAACGAAGAAACAAUUUUUCACACAGAAAGUUGUGAGUCUGUGGAAUUCUCUGCCGCAGAGGGCGGUGGAGGCGGGUUCUCUGGAUAAUUUCAAGAGAGAGCUAGAUAGAGCUCUUAAAGAUUAGCAGAGUCAGGGGAUAUGGAAGCAGGAACAGGGGUACUGAUUGUGGAUGAUCAGCCAUGAUCACAGUGAAUGGCGGUGCUGGCUUGAAGGGCUGAAUGGCCUACUCCUGCACCUAUUGUCUAUUGUCUCCUUCUGUGCUGCAGCCCUUGCAGGAGCCAAGGUGAUUAUUGAACACUUGAUGUCAAAAUCCUGUAAGGUGCCUCUCUGAAAGAUUGAACCUGCUCCUCCAGUUACCUUAAGCUUUAAUGUUUGAUUGCAUUUGAUUUUUCCUGCAAAAUCAUAUUUCGUGGAAUUGACCUGAGCUGCUUUGUUCAGGUGGCUGGGUGCUCUGUUAAUGGAAGCAUUUCACUCCGAGGGACAGAUUGCUUUGUGUGGCCGUGGAGAGCGGAUCCAGAUUCCUAUCCAUCAGAUAACACCGGCCUAACGUUAUCCACACAGCUAUUCCAAAACAGCCCCCGAUGAGUGAUGUGUGGAAUCAGUGGGGAGAUGGUAAACUGUGCACCUGACUUGCCACUCGCUCCCCACUCGCCAAUGAGUCAAAACAUCAGCAUUUUGUGUUCACAUGCGGAGCCAAACGGCCGCAGCUGUGUGAUUCCAAUCUGUCACACGCGGAUAAACCUGGCUGCUUCUCAUUCCGCACAUCCAGCGCGGGGAUCAUCAUUCCUUUCACUCCUAAAGCCGUGAAAUUGCAUUCGGAACGGGCGCAGGUACCGACAGGAGUAGUCAAAACAUCGAGGAGCUGCGGCCGUGACUGAUAUACCUGUCGAUGGAUUAAACAGAUUAUGCAGAGGAAGCAUGAAAAACAGCGAGGAGCAAAGGGGAAAAUCAAAUACAGAUCUUGUGUCCUGAAGGCUAUGCCCCCUGGUGCUGGACUCCAUUACUGGAAACAUCCUCUGCACAUCCACUCUAUCCAGGCCUUGCACUAUUCGUGACAAUCGGAGAGGAGGCAGAGCAGAAACCCAAGCUUUCAGAAGAAAUGCGUGCAGAAAAUCCCAAGGAUAAGCCCAUAAGCUGGUGAGAUAAAGGAAAGGGAGGCAGCCUCGAGGGCUGAAUGGGUCGACCUGCCGCCACUGUUAUCUGCGCAACGGAGCGUACCAGCCCGGACUUACAGCUGGUUGACUGUGGGCUGCUGAGGUUAACUGCUUGCCAGGUCUGGAUAAAGUGGAUGUGGAGAGGGAACGUUGCCACUGGUGGGGGAGCCCAGGUACAAGAGGUCGUAGCCUCCGAAUGGAAGGACGUUCCUUUAUUUAGUCAAGAGGGUGGUGAAUCUGUAAAAUUCUUUGCCGCGGGACUUAUUUACCAUCACCCGGCGGGGUCACAACAUCGGAGG